rnacentral:rRNA from 1 species
UACGUAGGGCGCAAGCGUUGUCCGGAAUUAUUGGGCGUAAAGCGCGUGUAGGCGGCUUUGCAAGUCGGGUGUGAAAGCCCUCGGCUCAACCGAGGAAGUGCGCCCGAAACUGCAGAGCUUGAGUACCGGAGAGGAUGGCGGAAUUCCCCAAGUAGAGGUGAAAUUCGUAGAUAUGGGGGGGGAACACCGGUGGCGAAGGCGGCCAUCUGGACGGAUACUGACGCUGAGACGCGAAAGCGUGGGGAGCAAACAGG